rnacentral:snoRNA from 1 species
GCCCCCCAGUUUCCUUAUCUGUCACAUAUAAACACUGCUCCGAGAGGUCAUUAAAGGAGGACAAGCAGAAUGGAAACUGACUUCAGUGCCUUGGCGGCACACGAGCUCGUUUUAAACAAUU